rnacentral:snRNA from 1 species
GUAAUCCAUACGGAAUACAUAUACUAAAAUUGGAACGAUACAGAGAAGAUUAGCAUGG